rnacentral:rRNA from 1 species
CCGCGCCGGACCGUGCACAAGUCUCCUGGAAUGGAGUGUCAUAGAGGGUGAGAAUCCCGUCUUUGGCAUGGAAACCCCGGUGCUUCUGUGAUGCGCUCUCAAAGAGUCGAGUUGUUUGGGAAUGCAGCUCAAAAUGGGUGGUGAACUCCAUCUAAAGCUAAAUAUUGGCGAGAGACCGAUAGCGAACAAGUACCGUGAGGGAAAGAUGAAAAGCACUUUGGAAAGAGAGUGAAACAGUACGUGAAAUUGUUGAAAGGGAAACGCUUCAAGUCAGUCGCGUCGAUCGAGACUCAGCCUCGCCUCGGCUUGGUGUACUUCUCGACCGACGGGCCAGCAUCAAUUUUGUCCCUCAGAUAAUGGCAAGGGAAACGUGGCACCCUCACCGGUGUGUUAUAGUCUCCUGUCACAUGUGAGGGGUGGGAUUGAGGAACUCAGCACGCACCUUUUUAGGUGUCGGGGCCCAAGGCCCACGUUACGUGCUUAGGAUGUUGGCGUAAUGGCUUUAAACGACCCGUCUUGAAACACGGACCAAGGAGUCUAACAUGCCCGCGAGUGUUCGGGUGGAAAACCCGUCCGCGUAAUGAAAGUAAAAGUUGGGACCUCCGUCGUGGAGGGCACCGACGCCCGGACCAGACCUUCUGUGACGGAUCUGCGGUAGAGCGUGCAUGUUGGGACCCGAAAGAUGGUGAACUAUGCCUGAAUAGGGGUGAAGCCAGAGGAAACUCCUUGGUGGAGGCUCGUAAGCCGAUUCUUGACGUGCAAAUC